UUCAUUUGCCUCUCAAUCCAAACGCUUCCAAUGCUCAAUUCAAAAACUUUAACUUCUUUGUAUCUAUGGAGAAACUGCAUUUUUGAUUUUAAAUGGGAAUUCUUCAUGAUGGAGGGUCUGACUUCAAAUUUCUUUGAGAAUUACAAGAUUCCUUUGUAUCACAGGCUGUCAAUUAAGAACAAGAUAAUUACUGCCUGAUAAACAUUUCUUUGUCAAAUAAAAACAAUUUCCUAUAAGGGACAGUGGAAAUGGAAAUACAUAAUAAAAAUGUAUUGCAGUGACUCUGGCUGAUCUAUUGCAGGCAAUUAUAGAUCUCAAAGCCAUUACAGAAAGUGAUUUCUUGUCCAGUGGUUAUUGAGGGAUUGUAAAAAAUGUUUUCCUAGGAUGCUUACCCCACGUCCAUGGCACUUGGUGGCACAUUUAUGGACUCCAAAAACACUGGUGUUCUGGCACCGGCGGUUCAGGCAAAUCUGCAAAAUACAAAAAAAGGAUUUUGACCAGGGACAGAGCUGCUGGGGCUCCCAGGACAUCAUAUCCCUUCUUUCAGCAGUUAAAUAUUUCCCAACACUCAAAUAUAUAUCAUUAUAUGGACACAAAGGACACCUGGAUUGGGUGUCUUCUUCUUAUCUCCCUUGACCCCUUUUAAAUCUUUGAAAUCCAAAUCUGGGCAAGCUGAAUUCCGCUCUCCUGGCCAGCCCUGGCCCCACACAGAAUUCACAGUGUUGUUAUGCUGAUCUUCUGCAAGCAAACCCUCACAGAUCCACUCAAGUGGAACUAGUGGGGACACCCUGGGCUUUGGGAGGUGUUUAAGCCAAUUUAAAAAUCAGUAAUUUGUAUUCUUUUUCAGGACCAGGAGUGCACUGAGCAGGAUUCCUUCAGGCUCCUGCUCUGCCUGCCUCUGUCUCUUCACAGAUGAUUCCUCGACCAAAGCUUUGGAUCUUCAUGGUGUAAAUUAUCAGAGUUUCGUUUUUAUCAGUGGUGAAAUAUUUUUCAUUGCACUACAGAACCUGGACCCAGGCUAGUCAUUGCAGAUAAACUUUACUCUGCCAAUGGAGCUGAAAAUUGAGGUUAAGCAAGAUUAGUGCUGAGCAAUAAUAACAUCAAACAACCACACAACUGAUGAGCACGUCACUAAUGAGAAGUUACCCUAUUCCAAACUGAAAAAAGAAGAAAUUAGGACUGGAAUAACUGUUCCUAUGCUAUGUUGACAACAAAAAAGGUCAGAAAGCCCCACACUGCACAUUUUGCUCGUGUUUAACUGCAGUGCAGUUCAGUAGUACUAAAAGUCAGUCACAAUAAUUAGCUUUAAGCUGGGAAUGGUGUUGAAGGAGGCGACAGGGAUGCUUAAUCAGGGCACUUAUCCCCUGGGGAGAAGGAAAAAUGGAAAGGAAAUUAGAGCGAAUUGGCAUCAACAUGCAGGCAUGGAGAGAAUAUGGUCUGAUUACAGCACUAUUCACAAUUCAAAUAUUCACAGUGCAGCAGCUCCCAGAAUUCUGAUCACAUUAAAAUGGCUGCGUUUCAAAUUGUGCAUCUCCAGUUGAGAAAACCCAAGAAUAUUUAAAUUCAUAUUCUUAAUCCAUAAUACAAAUGCACUAAUGUCCUCAAAGUAAAACAUACAAUUUCAGAAGUAUUAGCCUGUGUAUUCUAUAGUGUGGAUGUGUAUGAUUAGAUAGAUUAGAAAGAUUAAAUACUCAUUAGUAAAACAUAAUGGGGUGCUUUCUCAGCGCUGAGUUGCCUUUGAAAAGACUUUUUAGAACAGAUUGACUUAGAAAUGUUGUAAGGGUUGUUUUCCUGUAGCAGAGCUGUGGUUUCACUGGGGAUGGAUUUCAAACCUGUUCCCAGCACAGUGAGAUAAUCCAACGUAAUUCAAAAGCAUUCACAAGUUCCGUGGCUUACUUCAAUUUACCACAAAUUAUCAAAGCACUUGUUUUUCCUCCUUUUUGCAAGCAAUCCACUGAGGGUAUGGAAACCUCCUUCAUUUCAAUAGCUCUUGGACUGCUUUCCAUUCCUCCUCCCCCUGUAAACUCAUGGCUGCCUCCCAUCUUUCUCAGUUGCUUUCCUCACAAAAGAAAAACUUAGAAGGAGACAGCCAUGUGAAAUCUGGGCUGUAUUUGCAGUGGGUAAUUCACAAAAUUUGCAAAACACAAAUGUAAAAAUCAGUUUUGGUGGCUGAGCAUCAAUGGGUUUAGAGUUUUCUAAGAGUGCAUACAGAGGUAGGUUUUCCUGCAUGAAAAAAGAAGUGGGGAGUCAUAAUCAGAAGAUAAAAUACAUUUUGAAACCUAAAGCGAAGUUAAUGACAAUUCUGCAAUGCCAGAGAGGCUGGGAAAAGGAAUACAUUGAACUCAUGAAUUCAUUAAUAAGCCUGUAAUGCAUUUUGCUGUACUUAUUUUGCAGAAAACCUCAAGCCUCCAUGGGCAGAUACUUGGGACUGUCUUGAAAAAAUCAGUCAUAAACUUAAGCAACUUGCAUUGUCCAGAAUCCCAGGAUGGUUUGGGUUGGAAGGGACUUUAAAGCUCAUCUAUUUCCAACCCCCUGCCAUGGCCAGGGACACUUUCCACCAGAUCAGGUUGCUCAAAUUUGCAUCUGAAAAUCUAUAAUACAGAACAGUGGCCAGAAGGGAGUAAAAUUUGUCUCAGUCUGAGCAUGAGAAGCAAUUAUUUUGUAGGAGAAAAAAAAUGCCAAAGAAAAAGGAAGUACAGAACACUUGGCAGAGUGACAGUAGAGAUGUUCCCUUUGUCUGGGAGUAUUCCAGAAUCUUACUUUUCCAUCUUCACACUUGGUUCCUGCCAGCACCAGCCCAGGGUCAGGCAUAUCAUCCCCCAAAUACACGUGGGUGCCACGGCACAGGAUCUUGCCACCCUCCUGGAGUGGGAUGUUGGUUUCUAUGGAAACUGCGUUGGUACCAAUGACGGGUCGGUUUGCUCCUCCUUGACACUGGAUUUUUCCACACUUCGCAUCCCUGAUGGAAACAAACACAACACAAGCAAGGAUGAGGAGUCCAUGUUCUAGUGAGACCCCAAAGAAAAUUCUUUUCAAGACAGGCCUGUUUGACUGCAACUGAGAACAAGACAGCAGAGAAAAUCCAGUUGUAAACUGGGUGUAAAGAUGUGAGACCUGACAUGGCAAAGGGAAAUGUGCUGCUAUUAACUCAGGCUGAAGGACUGGGGAGAGGAAAGGAGCCCAUCCCACCUUAACCCUCAGGACAUGCACUCCUGAGAGGAAAGACUGACAUGGAAGAAGGGACAUUCCUGCCAUGGUGGUAGAAGCGGGAAUCUGGGAGUUCAGGCAGCAUCUGGUUCUAAUCUACUGUGAUCUUUUCUGAUAGAGACAGAUCCUAAUGGCAGAGCAACUUCCCUGGUGGGAGUAGGGCUGGAAAAGCUUGUGCAGGCAGGUCAUUCAUCCCUGCACUUCAGAAGUUCAAGGGUACUAUCAGAACAUCUCUUCUAGUGUUUUAUACACACAAUCUCCUGCUCAUUUCCCUCCAGAUUAGAACCAAUUACAGAACAUCUUCUAGGGGAAGAUGCAUCCGUUCAUCUGGAAUGUUGAAGAGGUGAAGGAUCUGCUUCCCUGGUUUGCCUGCUGCAACAAUUCAUUAGUCAGUGUACUGGAAUUUAAUCCCUUUGUUCUACACUGAAGUGUGGCUUUCAUUUCCAGCCAAUAAUUGCUGCUUCUUGCAAGAUUAAGAGGCCCUUUGUUAGGGCUCUCUACUACUCUGUAUUUUCUUUCCAUGAAGAUAAUUAACAGCACCAUCAAGUCACCACCAACACUUCAAUGCUCCAACAGGGAGACUGGCUUUGAGCAGCAGAGGAGCUGAGGAGAAACUCUGGCUAAAACUGUGAUCAGAGAGAGACCUGCUACCUGCACUUCUGUGCUUUUGACAGAUCAGCCAAACCAAAGCAAAAAGAACUUGGCAGCAAGUGAUGUGAUAGCCCAAAGGCUGAGAAUAUCCCAUUUCUACAGCACUCCUGAUCUUCACCAGACACAGAAUAUUUCAACUAAUGCUUCAUUUUGUCAAAUGUUUUGAGCCACUUCCAAGUGUGUAUGCCUCUAACUGUGGGUAAAACAUUGCAUUUAUUUAAGCCAGACUGAAGAUUUCAUUUGAAAGCCUUCAAAGAGGAAAAUGUUAUUUUUUUCUUUUCUUAAAAAAAAAAAAGGGGGGGGGCGGGUCAGAUUCCUGGAGAAGAAAAUACAAAUAUGACUGUAACACUUCCAGACAGUGUGGAUCUUUUCACUAAAAACUCAGAGAUUAAAACUUCAAUUAAUUAUCUGCAUUUCAUAGUCAGAAGCUUGACUAAUACUAUAUACUGCUGAACAGCAAUCUAAUGCUAUUAAGGACAAAAUAUUAAAACUUGGAGAGGCUUAAGAUGGCACCCUCUUUUCCUUCUCACAUUUUUACAUGCUGAAACUGGAAAAUUCAGAAAGAAAGGCACAGAAGGAACAGAAUAUGAGCUGAUGGUUCCCUGGAGAGAAGGACAAGAGCUUGAAAUUCUUUGGAAGAUUACGAUCAAGCUUGCUGAGUUCAGAAUAUUUUUUCAAAUCCGGAACUCUUAAAAGAGACUCACACAGGAUUCUUUAAAUUCUUUUUCAUUAAAGCUCACACAAUAAUAGGAAAAAAUCAACAAAAGCAUCCAGACAAGGCGCUGUGCAAAAAAAGCAAAAGUUAAAUUUCCAUUUUCAGCAUGUGGAUCCCUCCUCAUCUUUCCAGGGUGGGCACACUUGGUGUUCAGCCUGAGACAAACAUUACCAUGUACAUAUUCUAUAGCAGCUUUGGAAGGGCUGGGGAGGGAAGAAACAUUCUGGAAGCAAGAGGCCAAGAAAACCAAGGCUCUUUCCAAAACUGCUUUUCCAAAACUGCUUAUUCCAAAACUGCUUUUUUUUCCCACAUGUGCAAGGACCAGCUUGUGCAGCCCUGGUUGUGUGCAACUGCUCUGGGUCUUGUUUCUGGCCAGAGGCCUCAGCCUCAGCCCAGCUCAGCUGCUGCCAUGGAAUUCCAGAGGCAGGAUGUGCCCUUGGAGCUGUGGCAGCAGCAGCCAGAGCCCAGACACGCUGUCCCCUCAGUGGUGUCCCCUCCCAGAGCUGCCAAAAGCCAAAUGAAUGCUCAUGUCCUGUGCUCUGACUGCAAGGGAUGUAACAAAGGCUUAUUCUAAAAAUGGGUUUCAAAAGGGAAUGCACUUACUGAACACAGGGAGAGUUUAAGGUGUUUCUCUUCCUCUUUCACCUGGUGGAAGUUUUUUUUAUGUGGCUGAUUAUUUUCCUGAAUUCAGAAGCCAGGCGUUGCAGAGAUGAUGGAAAGCAGCCCCCAGGAAGGAAAACACAUCUGCAGGGCUCAGACACUGAGCUUUAACUCCAACUAAUAACACUUGACAAGAAAAAGGAUCUCAUGGAGCACAAAAACCACUCCCCUGCCAGGCUGGGAGCAGUCUGUGUGUGAAAACACCUGGUACCCAAUGAUCAUCUGCAGCCUGGAAACCAAAAUCCAGCUUCAAUUUCUGCCUUUGGUAUCCAACCAAGACAGGCUGUUGCUUGGGAUUCAGAUGGCUGUUCCCUCUCCCCACUGGCUUCUCACAAUAUUUGCACUUUUUUAUGGAUGAAAACAUAUCAGAGUGUAAGAUGCUGAACAGAUGGAGCUACCAAGUUAAAAGGAGGCUUUCAGAGGAUGCUUAAGGAGGAGAAUUGUAAUGUGUUUCUGGAGGAAACCCAUUUAUCACGACUGCACCACAUAAACUGAAGCAGAAAGUCCUGUCUUCCUCUAUUUUCUACCUCUGCAGGCAGAAGCAAAAUGAUUUGUGAAGGAUUUCUGGUGGUUAUUAAGUGGCUUGAGCUGGAUGAGCAGAGUUUAUUUCACUUUGUUAUUGGUAAUUAUAGUAUCAUGACCCUGUAAUUAAGGUCCUGUCAGCCUUUCCUUGCCAAGCCUCAUUCAAGGGAUUAAAUCAGCCCCUGGAAGCUGCAGAAGGUCAAAGCUCACCCCUGAAGCUGGCAGCCUGGAGAUUGUUGGGGCUUUUUCUCCAAACAUGUAUAUUGGUGAGGCCACUUCUUUCCCUAUGCAGGCCCAAAAAAAUAAAAUAAUAAAAAAAGAGAAGUUGCAGGGCACAGAAAUGCUGUGUCAUUUCAGACCUGCUGCCGUAGGAAAACACUAACACACUCUCUUGAAAGGAAUGAGGGAAAUUUCUGACCAUGGUGCUGAUUCCAUGAACACAAGAAACGUCCUCUAUCAGGCUGACAGCAGAAAAGGAAGAUAUUUCAGUUCAGUUCCCAGAUGUCUGUGGGUGGGGAGAGGGGAAAAAAACAACCUCUGAGUAACAGGCUGGAGUUCUGUGGCUCAGGCUGUGCCAGCCAGCACCACGAAUAACUGUGCAAAUAAAUAUAAGCAUAAAAACCACAGUUCUCUGUCGUGUGAUCUGAGUUUCAGCUCAUUAAAUUUGUUUUUGCUGCAAAGCAAAAGUUCCACGAACUGCCCUUGGCCUCUCUUCCCAUCCUGGUGAUUCCUGUUCUGUCUGGGCAAGAGCAAGAUGGGGUUGAGCAUUUUUUUGCAUUUAAGGAGGAUGAUGUCACCACCACUGAGAAUAUUAUUUAAUAU